UGAAUGCACUAACUGUAAGUCGCUCUGGAUUAGAGCGUCUGCUAAAUGACAAAUG
rfam:Salmo salar isolate Sally breed double haploid chromosome ssa28, whole genome shotgun sequence.